UCAGCCCAGUUCUGCCUGGGGUGUGAGUGCUACCAUUUCUGCGACCUGUGCAGCCUGACUUCCAUCAAACCUCCUGGACAUAACUGUUUCUAACUUAUCAGUUACCACAGCCCAUCCUAUUUGGGGCGAGCCUCCUACAUAUUUUCAUGACCUGUCCAUGAAGAGGGUCUCCUCGGCUGUGUCUAGAGGGUUAUCCUUUACUCUUCCCCAAUUUUCAUCCUGAUCUCCCUCCCCACAAUUGUGCGGUUUCCCUGUGUCUAGAAUUCCCACCGCUGGUUUUUU